rnacentral:pre_miRNA from 1 species
UUAGGAUCUAGACCUGACAUAUCUUCAUACAACCAUGCAAAAAUAUCUGGAUACUCUCGGAGGAGCUGGAUGAUCUUCUUUUUAACCCCUUCCCUAGAGCAGCACUGAUCUUAAUUUCUCGCUUGUUCUCUUCGGUACCUAUGUUGAUGAGUUCAAUCUCUUCUUGG